rnacentral:tRNA from 1 species
GAAGAUGUGGCUCAGCAGUAGCUAAGAGCACUUACUGCUCUUGCAGAUGAUCUGGGUUCAAGUCCCAUCAUCCUCA